CUUUUGUCAUCGUCAUUGUUGCUGUUGUUGCUACUGUCAUUUUAUAAUCCUGUGUGGUGACGUGGUAAGAUAAAAUGAUUAUAAAUAAUAAAUUUAUAAGAUUUUAGGAGCUCUUUUUUUUAAAAAAUACAUACACGAUAUACGAUUGCUAAUGUAACGUUGAAUGAUUAUCAAUGAGAUACGGUAGAUAAUCAAUUUGUUCGUUAUCUAUUUUUGGUUAAAAAUUUGCUCAAAACUCAACAAAAUGUCAUACAAAUUAGUUUUACAUCUGCACCUGUUUAUGCAAGAGAUUAUUUUCUUCGAAAAGAAUAUCCAAUUCCACCGGAUGGUGAAACAUUUGUCAACACUUUUGUUAUGAUUUCAAAAAAAUGACAAUCAAACCAUGGUUUCCAAAUGGUCUUGAUUAUCAGAUUCUAUAUCGAUUAAGUACAACAAUUCAUACUGGAGAUGAAAUGAGCAACAAACAAGUAGCCAUUGGAUUUCGAACCAUUGACUUAAUGGUCAACUGUUGAUAAGAGAUAAUUUCCUAUUGUUUGGAUCAUUUAAAAAAAAAAAACUAAUGAAUGAUCAGAAAAUAUUUCUGCAAAAAAUUGAUGGCCUUUUUCAACAUGAUGGUUCUCAUUUCUAUGAUAUCCAAUUAAUUACCGUUAAAAUUGUGCACCAUUCAUAUGGUUAGAUCUGGUGAAUGAUUCUCAUUAUUUAGCAUUUUUUGCCUCAUCGUU